rnacentral:rRNA from 1 species
AUGAACGCUGGCGGCGUGCCUAAUACAUGCAAGUCGAGCGAACAGAUCAGGAGCUUGCUCCUUUGACGUUAGCGGCGGACGGGUGAGUAACACGUGGGUAACCUACCUAUAAGACUGGAAUAACUCCGGGAAACCGGGGCUAAUGCCGGAUAACAUUUAGAACCGCAUGGUUCUAAAGUGAAAGAUGGUUUUGCUAUCACUUAUAGAUGGACCCGCGCCGUAUUAGCUAGUUGGUAAGGUAACGGCUUACCAAGGCAACGAUACGUAGCCGACCUGAGAGGGUGAUCGGCCCAACCGGGACUGAGACCCGGUCCCGACUCCUACGGGAGGCAGCCAUUGGGAAUCGUCCGCAAUGGGCGGAAGCCUGACGGAGGCACGGCGGCUUGGUGAAGAAGGGCUUCGGAUCGUAAAACUCUGUUAUUAGGGAAGAACAAAUGUGUAAGUAACUGUGCACGUCUUGACGGUACCUAAUCAGAAAGCCACGGCUAACUACGUG